UCCUCGGUAGUAUAGUGGUUAGUAUUCCCGCCUGUCAUGCGGGAGACCCGGGUUUGAUUCCAGGCCGGGGAG